rnacentral:SRP_RNA from 2 species
GCCAGGUGUGGUGGCGCACACCUGUAAUCCCAGCUACUUGGGAGGCUGAGGCAGGAGAAUUGCUUGAACCCGGGAGGUGGAGGUUGCAGUGAGCUGAGAUCGUGCCACUGCAUUCCAGCCUGGGUGACAGAGUGAGACUCUGACUCAA